GCAAGUCGAACGCUGAAGUCAAUUUCGGGGGUGUAUAAAGCGGCGGACGGGUGAGUAAGGCAUAGGCAACCUGCCCUUAAGUGGGGGAUAGCCUGGGGAAACUCGGGUUAAUACCGCGUAAGCUGGAUAUGUGAAUAAUAUUCAGUAAAGGCUUCGGCCGCUUUGGGAUGGGCCUAUGUAUGAUUAGCUAGUUGGUAAGGUAACGGCUUACCAAGGCUUCGAUCAUUAGCUGGUCUGAGAGGAUGAUC
rnacentral:rRNA from 1 species